GGGGAUUUAGCUCAGUGGUAGAGCGCUUGCCUAGAAAGUGCAAGGCCCUGGGUUCGGUCCCCAGCUCCA
rnacentral:tRNA from 1 species